UGAGAUACAAAUUAGGAUGGUCCUUAUAUGGCAAAAAAAAAUUUUUUUUCGAUUUUUUAACGGGGCACCAUUUCUUUUGAUUAUUUAACAUUAAAAUAGGUAAGAGUAUUUUUUUCAUAAUUUUUGGACAAUAAUUAGAGGUCGCUACCGCAGCUUGAACUUUGUGAAAUAAAAUUAAACAAACGUAUUACAUGCAAAAUCAGAUUUAUUGUAAAAAAAACUCUGAAGUGUUAAAGAUUGCAGUUAUAAUCUCUAAAAUGGACAUCUGAAUCAACUACACAAUCAGGUAUCCAUAACACAACAACAACAUAAAUAACAAAUUAGGAUAAAAGGGUGGAUUUCUGGGCGUUGGGGUACUUUUUUCGGAAUUGUUUUACUACUAAAAGCAAAUACUGUUUUUGGUCUUCAUUAGUUGUUAAUAGCUUAUUGUAUUCCUCCAUCAAUGCCACUCCGCGUUCUGCGAUGUCAUUUACCACCCGCAUGGAUUGUACUAUUUUUUUUGCCGCUUUAAAGUCUUCGUCACCUUCCCAAUUUUCAACAUCUUUGUUAAAAAACCGUGAUGAAAUGCCAAGUAUUUGGAAGAACCUUAAAGAGUUACUUGUGACAAAGUCUUCAAUAUCUUUUUCCAUGAUAUGUUUGGCGUCUAGGCUUAUUCUUUUGGGACAAUACUCCAGCCCUUCAUUUUUUAGUGCCAUCACCAUUUUUUUCUUUACUUCAAUCGGAAGCUUGUCGUCGAAAAAUGCAAAUGAAACAAGUUCUUCACUUAGGUACCAUAAAUGACCUAAAACCUUUUUCAAAGCAACGUUGGCCAUCGCCAGAUUAAUAUUUUUAAAUGUUAUGAGGUCUUUCAGCAGGUUCAAAUCAUUUCGUGGUGCACAUUGCCCAGCAGGUGCUUCGAACCAAUACUUCACGUAUAUGACGGCAGUAAAAGUACAAAUAUCUUUUACUGCUUUUUCUUCUCUUUUGGUCAUUUUAAAUUGAUGCCGAAACAUAAAUAAUUUGAAGCAGUACAUCGCUUUUGCCAUCCAACGAGCACGGUGAAGGCCUGCAGGCAUUCUGAAUGCGACUCCACUGUCGGGAAUACCUCCCAAAUAAAUGAUUGUGAGAUUUAAUAGCUCUCUGUAAUCAUCACGCGGUUGGUAUUCACGCAAUUGAUCCUGUGCGAAAGAAAUCAUUCCUGAAGAGAUAUUUUCAACAUAUUUGGCAGACUCGGGAUCAGAAAUAACAUUCUUGUAAUCCUUAGGAUUAAUAUGGGUCCAAUUCUUUUUGAACCUUUUAAAUAACAAAACUUCUGGGCCACUAGAUGGACCAAGGGCUUGAUUUGCGAUGGCUUCUAACAUAAUUUCCAUUAUGUGAUGGCGACAGGCGAGCCAAAGCAUAUCUUUCUCCAUUUUUUGUUCUAAAAUAACGCAGCAUCCGUUUCGCAGUCCAGUGUUAACUGCCGUUGUGUCAAAGCAUAAGCAUUUAACUUUGUCACUUAAUCCCCAUGUCUGUACUCAUUUUCUUUAUUUUUUUUAAGUUUCUGCCACUCUUUAAAGUGGUAUUCAAUUUUGGCUAUUACAUGUUUCUUUAAUCUUGUUGGUAUUGCAGCUUUUUCCCAUAUGGUCAAGACGGAAUGGGCGGUCGCCGUCGCAGACUCUCUUAUAGUUUUUUUUUCAUCGGUUUUAAAGUGAAAAAACAAACUUAGCACUUCACGUAUUGACGGCAAUUUUGUUUGCUUCAAACUUGGUGUUAACUGGCCUAUAAGCCAGAUGUUAGUUGUAUUUCGCGUUGAGACGCGUAUUCCACUGCUUGUAGACGCCAUUACAAUACUUCACAACGAUACGCUUGAGGAUUACGUGCAGACUCUCACAAUAACGAAAAUGGACUGAAGAUCGUCCCACGCGGUCGCAUCGCGGGGGUGUGAGAGGGGGGUGGAGGACGCGUCAGUGCAUCGCUAGUAGGCAACGGCACUUGAUUUCAUUUAACAAGUCAAAAUUUUAUAACAAAAACGCACGAAUAAAUAGUUGGCUCGAUUCAUAAAA